rnacentral:rRNA from 1 species
GUGAGGAAUAUUGCGCAAUGGAGGCAACUCUGACGCAGCCAUGCCGCGUGCAGGAAGAAGGCGCUACGCGUUGUAAACUGCUUUUAACCGGGAAGAAACCCCAGGACGUGUCCUGGGUUGACGGUACCGGAGGAAUAAGCACCGGCUAACUUCGUGCCAGCAGCCGCGGUAAUACGAAGGGUGCAAGCGUUAUCCGGAUUCAUUGGGUUUAAAGGGUGCGUAGGCGGAGCGUUAAGUCAGUGGUGAAAUCCUGCAGCUUAACUGUAGACUUGCCAUUGAUACUGGCGCUCUUGAGUGCGCUUGAAGGGGGCGGAAUGUGCCGUGUAGCGGUGAAAUGCUUAGAUAUGGCACAGAACACCAAUUGCGAAGGCAGCUCACUAAGGCGAUACUGACGCUGAGGCACGAAAGCGUGGGGAUCGAACAGGAUUAGAAACCCGUGUAGUCC